GUCACACAAUCACAAAUAUGGGCACAUAUUGAAACACACAUGCACAGAGAGACACACACAGGACCAAAUUCAGUCAACCAGUCUAAAUAUAUUGAAUUUAAAUGAUAUAAUAAGAUGCUCCCAUCAAAAGGCUCUCUCUCGCUCUCUCUCUCUCUCUCUCUCACACACACACACACACACACACACACACACACACACACACACACACACACAGAGCCUAAAGGGAACAGUAUUUGUGCCAUGGAGUGUUAACAAGAAUCUGAGGUCCAUAUUACAAAAGCUGCUAAAAUCAUAAAAGGUUGCAGAAUUGUAAUAAAUGAUGAAUAUGAAUUAGUGGUCUGUGAUAGUGUAUUAAUUUGUAGGGAAAAAACACAUGUUGCCCAAGGUGUAAUUGAACCCACGACCUUUGGGUUGCAGACCUGUGUCAUUACCAACUGCGCCACUGGGAAAGAGAGCGAGCGCCUGGAAAACAGGGUGAUGAGCAGUCAGAAUCAGAUUGCGGUGAGAGGCGAAAAACGCCGUUUUUUGCAGUUACAAAACGUCGUGUAACUCAAAAACUAGGUGGGAUAGAAGCACAAUUCUUGUACUGGGUGAAUCAGC
ensembl:lncRNA